UACAGAGGGGGCAAGCGUUGUUCGGAAUUACUGGGCGUAAAGGGCGCGUAGGCGGCCCGCUAAGUCGAACGUGAAAUCCCCAGGCUCAACCUGGGAACUGCGUCCGAUACUGGCAGGCUUGAAUCCGGGAGAGGGAUGUGGAAUUCCAGGUGUAGCGGUGAAAUGCGUAGAUAUCUGGAGGAACACCGGUGGCGAAGGCGGCAUCCUGGACCGGUAUUGGACGCU
rnacentral:rRNA from 1 species